CCUACGGGAGGCAGCAGUAGGGAAUAUUGGACAAUGGGCGAAAGCCUGAUCCAGCCAUGCCGCGUGUGUGAAGAAGGUCUUCGGAUUGUAAAGCACUUUAAGUUGGGAGGAAGGGUUGUAGAUUAAUACUCUGCAGCUUUGACGUUACCGACAGAAUAAGCACCGGCUAACUCUGUGCCAGCAGCCGCGGU
rnacentral:rRNA from 1 species